rnacentral:rRNA from 1 species
CAGCCGCCGCGGUAAUACGUAGGUGGCAAGCGUUGUCCGGAAUUACUGGGCAUAAAGCGUGCGCAGGCGGUUUUGUAAGACAGGCGUGAAAUCCCCGGGCUCAACCUGGGAAUGGCGCUUGUGACUGCAAAGCUAGAGUGCGGCAGAGGGGGAUGGAAUUCCGCGUGUAGCAGUGAAAUGCGUAGAUAUGCGGAGGAACACCGAUGGCGAAGGCAAUCCCCUGGGCCUGCACUGACGCUCAUGCACGAAAGCGUGGGGAGCAAACAGGAUUAGAUACCCCCGUAGUCCCUGUCUCUUAUAC